UGGGGAAUUUUGGACAAUGGGCGCAAGCCUGAUCCAGCCAUGCCGCGUGCGGGAAGAAAGCCUUCGGGUUGUAAACCGCUUUUGUCAGGGAAGAAAUCUUCUGAGUUAAUACCUCGGGAGGAUGACGGUACCUGAAGAAUAAGCACCGGCUAACUACGUGCCAGCAACCGCGGUAAUACGUAGGGUGCAAGCGUUAAUCGGAAUUACUGGGCGUAAAGCGUGCGCAGGCGGUUUUGUAAGACAGAGGUGAAAUCCCCGGGCUCAACCUGGGAACUGCCUUUGUGACUGCAAGGCUUGAGUGCGGCAGAGGGGGGAUGGAAUUCCGCGUGUAGCAGUGAAAUGCGUAGAUAUGCGGAGGAACACCGAUGGCGAAGGCAAUCCCCUGGGCCUGCACUGACGCUCAUGCACGAAAGCGUGGGGAGCAAACAGGAUUAGAUACCCUGGUAGUCCACGCCCUAAACGAUGUCAACUGGUUGUUGGGAAGGUUCCUUCUCAGUAACGUAGCUAACGCGUGAAGUUGACCGCCUGGGGAGUACGGCCGCAAGGUUG
rnacentral:rRNA from 1 species